rnacentral:rRNA from 1 species
CAGUAGCCGCGGUAAAACGGAGGGUGCGAGCGUUAAUCGGAAUUACUGGGCGUAAAGCGUGCGCAGGCGGUUCGUUAAGACAGAUGUGAAAUCCCCGGGCUUAACCUGGGAACUGCAUUUGUGACUGGCGAGCUAGAGUAUGGCAGAGGGGGGUAGAAUUCCACGUGUAGCAGUGAAAUGCGUAGAGAUGUGGAGGAACAUCAGUGGCGAAGGCGGCCAUCUGGGACAACACUGACGCUGAGGCACGAAAGCGUGGGGAGCAAACAGGAUUAGAUACCCCCGUAGUCCCUGUCUCUUAUAC